UCCCUGGUGGCUCAGAUGGUAAAGAAUCUGCUUGCAACGCAGCAGAUCCAGGUUCAAUCCCUGGUUGAGAAG
rnacentral:tRNA from 1 species